UCUCAUGAAGCUGUGACAGGAACUUCUAUUGUGAGCAUAAAGGGGAAGAGCAGGAAUGUGUACUGCAUCUGAACAAUGAUGAACCAGGAGCUGGAAAUGAUCUCCAUGCAAGUGGCCACAAGUAGCAAAGAGCCAGAGCAUAUUGCAGCCAAGCCUCAUCUUCCCAGUCCUCCUGGAAGCUUAGGGGUCAUGAAGACAGAUAACCCUCAAACAAGUGGAGAAAGACACAGACUUUAGAUCAAUGCAGAUACUGGGAUUUGUUAUUCCAGGAUAACAAAUGACUGUGAAGGUGAAUGGUAAAAAUUUAGCAUACUGUGAAAUGCAUGCUUCUCUUUACUGAUUGGUUUGUCUGGAGAUCAUUUCUCACACUUGGGGACUACACUCCUCAUUUACUCUGCAGUGUUAAUCCCAUGUAGUUUUAGAGUUUACAGGAAUGAAAAAUAGAUUCCUUCUGAUUUCAAAGCAGAAAAAUCUUAGAUCCACACUGAGCACCGUUUCUAUCUUGUCAGUGGCUCCAGCCACUAAGUAUUAAAUUAGAUUCCCAUUUCUUUGUUUGCAAUAGUAAAUUUGUUAAGGAGGACUACUGAGAACACAUUUCAGAUCCUGUGUUUUAUCUUACAAAAAAAAAUUGUUUUUAUUCUUAACUACAUAAACAUUCUUGUACAAGCAUCUAUGUAACACCACCUAGCAAAUACCCCGUUCAAACCACGAAACAGGUUGGCAGAGAUUCCUAAAGGUGACUUUGUGGCAUUUCUAGGCUCUCUCUCCCUCUCCUGGUCGCUGU